AAGACCACAGGGCAACCUGUCAUUUAUUUCCUUCUCAAAGAUUUACUGAAUACUUAUUAUUAUGUGCCAGGGACUUCUCUAGAAACUGAGAUACUUGAACCACAGGAGAAGAAAAGAAUAAGUGGAGUGAUGUAUUGGAAUGACCGAGAAAGAAUGAGACGUAAUUUACAAGUGAAAGGAAUGGCCUUGACUAGGAGUGAAGAUACACACAAAGAAUAUGGACAUAGUUGCAAGCAGCUUAAGAAGAAAACACAGCUGGACCUACAAUCGGGGAAAAUCCAUAACAGGCAAGACAAGAGCAAUUUCUCUGCCAGCUUCUUGCUACCUGCUGUCUCUAAUUGGCCAAACUUCUCACGGUGGAGUGCUCUCUCCUCCCCAUGUCUAAGUUGUCUUGUCUGGCCCCUCCAGGCAGGCACUGGGAAGCCAUAGCCUCAGUAUGACAGGUUGAGUCACACAUGGCAGUACAGCUGAUGAGUGCCUGCUCCUCUGGGCAUGAUGGACACUCUGCCAGUGUGUGGCCCUUAUCCCAAGGCAGGCAGAGACAAGCAAUAGUGGGAGAAGAUAAGAAGAUGGUGAUGACCAGGGCUCUGCAAUUGUGGGGACUUUGUGACUUGUUGCUGAGACCACUCUGUCCAGGAGCUAGGGCACAGAGCUAUGGGCUCUUGUUCUUAUUCUGGGGCUAUCAUCUAGGGAGAUCAUGAGGAAAUUGUGUGUCUCCAUUCCUUCAUCUGUUUCAAGACAACAUUUUAUGAGGUUAGUAAAAAUGACUGGAAAUAAUGUUCUGUCAUUCUAUUAAUUCAAAGAAGUUUGAGCACCUUCUGUGUUUACUUCCUCUCAGUUAUAUAUUUAUCUAACAGUGUAUUGCUAAGAAAUACUUCAGAACAUAUUCAUGUAAUAGCUGGAUUCUAGAUUCUAGAUUCUAAUUUCUAGAUUCUAAUUCUAAUCUAGAUUCUAGAUUCUAAACAUGGAAUAUUCUUACUGCAAUGGCAGUGAGUUGGGCAAAUAAUAAAUAGUGCAAGUUCCUAAAACAAAGUGCUGCAGCACUGACAGAGAGACCAUGAUAUUCUGUUGAUUAAAUUGACUUCAGUUUGGUCAUCAAAUAGGGCAAGAAACUUUUAAAAUAUCCUGUUUUGUAAUUAGUCAAAAAACAUGACAUGAAAAGCCUUCCUCUCUUGAUCUUUAUUCAUGCUCUACGGUAUUUUGAAAACUAAAAAUAAAUAGCCAAACCAGUGGAUUCUACACAGUUGAAGGUAGAAAAGGGAAGGAGGCAGUCUCACUUCUCCCCAUAAAAAAAAUGGUAUGUGCCAAAUGAGCAGCAAAGAGAAUAAGAGGAAUGGCUCAGGUCACCCAGGGCUGGGCUGAGAAAAAGAGGAGUAGAGCUUGAAUGGGUCUUUCAGAAAGGACACAUGUCAGAUAAGGUGGUGGGUUGAUAGUGGCAUUACAGAACUAUUUAAAAUCCUUUCAGUAGGGGGAAGAAGAAAUCAAUUAAUCUGAGUCAUGUGGUUUGGAUGUUAAAGCCUGAUAUCCUGUCAGUGUUGCUAUAGGCUCCCUGGAGAGAUAUUUUGGCUCUUGGCAAAGUGCUGUUGUUGACCUUACUGCCUGUAACAUUCAAAGGCUUAGAACAAAAACUGACCAGAAAGAAAGUGAAAGGCUAACCAAGAGAUUUGUAGGUCAGAACAUAGCAAGUGUCUGUUAUUCAUGUUAAUGGAAUGGAAAUAUGACAUAGAUAAUAAAUAGUCAUUGCUUUAGUUAGGACUAAGUUUGGUCACAAAUGACAAUAAACUCAAAAUAAAAGGGGGUUAGUCACAAUAGAAGUCUAUUUUCCUCUCACAUAUAUGUCCAGAGGGGAAGCCCAGGGGUGAUAUGAAUAUGAUGGUCCAUGAUGUUAUGGGAGCAGGCUUCAUCUGUCUUGCUGCUUGCCAUGCGUGGUCUCCAUACCCAAGGAUCACAUGGUCUCACAUGGCUGUUUCAACUCUAGCCAUAAAAACUAGUUCUGACAAUAAGAAAGAGAGCAAGAAAGGGAUGGGCCAUAUCCCUGACCUUUAAAGAUAUUUCCAAGAAGAUGUGACCUAUUUAUGUGUACAUACCAUUUCCAGAACUUCGUUAUCUACACACACUUAGCUGAAUGGUCAGACAGAAAGUGUAAUUUUUGCGUGAUGCUGCCAGAUGCCCAGCUAAGAUUUGGGGUUCCUAUUACUGAGAAAGAAGGGAACACAAUCUUGAAAGGACAACCAGCAGCCUCUGUCCCAAUCAUCUGAGACACUAGCAUUUGGUUUUCCAAACAAUUUUAUAAUUUUGAGCAAUAUAUUUGCAUUGUAAUUUUUAAAACUUAAUAUCAAUUUUUUUUAUUUUGUUGUUCAUUUAACCCACUUACUGAGCAGUACAGAAUUAAAAUUAUAAUUUCAUAUAGAUAUUGACAUUUCAUUUCUUCUGUGAGCCUAAAAAUCAUGGAUUUUCCAUUCUUUCAGCAGUAGUCUCUCAUUGUAGUGAUGCCUAAGUUAUGAUUUUGAAUGCGCAAAAGAAAUAAAAUUUAUUUAC
rnacentral:lncRNA from 1 species